GGGAAAAGCGAGCACGCGCGCUGUCUUCCCCUGUCUGUCUGUGCGUGCGAAUUUCCGUGCCUGACCCGUUGGUGCAGUCACACGUGUUGCGUAAGCAAUGUCGCGCAAAUCGGGCUGGUGUUUCAGAUGGCGAAGAGAUAUUACUGUCCGACGUUUCCCAAAAAGCGUGUGGAACACGUGCGUGUGUUAGGCUCCUGCACACAAACAUACAGUACGCGCUGGUUAGAUAACCGCUGCUCGCUAAAUUGGAUAAAUCAAGUGCGAACAUCCAAAGGGCACACAUGCAAGCCGCAUUUGCCUUGCAAAAAAAAAAGAAAAAAAAACUUUGUUGAAUCACCCUGUAACUGGAAAGAUGAUGGCAAACAUCCUCAAGGAAGGUCCCGUGUUUUGUAAGGCGCAGCGAGUAAAAUAUGUGCCGAUAAGAAGGGCUGGCACAGACAGGCAAACAUACACCCCGUUCGCACCCCGUCCAACCGUGCGGCGUCGGUGCUCUAAUGAGUGCAACAACAACAACAACAACAACAUGGAAACAGCAACCGUCACUCGAACGUCACAGCUGACCUUAAAGUAACCGGAGCGGUGAUAGGGUGUGCAAGGCAUUAACAACGACCACCAUCACCACCAGAGGGCCCUCGCGUUAGUAAGGGCGAUGCACCCUCCCAGGGGGGGCGAGAAGAGGGGCUAGUGGCGCCCGCAUCGGUGCUCCAGCGGACGACACUGCUCCUCCAGCCUCUCCGUCCAGCUCACUUUUUCCCACAGCCAGUUGACCGACUGACGUGAUCGAUCAGCGUGUGUCUUCGCUCUUCUUCAAUCAAAUCGAUACCGCCGACACCGCGGCGAGAUAAAAUGACAACAAAAAAAAACCCGUCAAAAAAGCCCCCGUUAUCCGUUGAUACUGAUGGACAACCCCUCCCCGUUGUGUUCCUGGGUCGGUGAGUCAACCACUGGCCUUAAAUCGUACUCCUCCACAGAAAGGGCCGCAAGCAACGGUCGUUUGACAGUUUGACAUCUAGAACAUCUAGGCAGUGAGUCGAGGAAAGGGGGGAGGGGGAGGGAUUAAGAUUUGGGAAGGUCAACCCGGUUGUUUUUGGGGAGGGUUUUGUUGCUCACCACUUUUUGCACUAUUCAGGGACACACACAAACACACCCCAGAAUCAAUACACGUGUCCUCUUUUGCUCCCUAA